rnacentral:rRNA from 1 species
AGGAAAGCGGCGGACGGGUGAGUAACGCGUGGGCAACCUGCCCCAUACUAAGGGAUAGCCACUGGAAACGGUGAUUAAUACCCUAUAAAGCUGUAGGAUCGCAUGAUCUAAUAGCCAAAGAUUUUAUCGGUAUGGGAUGGGCCCGCGUCUGAUUAGCUAGUUGGUGAGGUAAUGGCUCACCAAGGCUUCGAUCAGUAGCCGACCUGAGAGGGUGAUCGGCCACACUGGAACUGAGACACGGUCCAGACUCC